rnacentral:ncRNA from 2 species
AGUCUGGUGCCAGCAGCCGCGGUAAUUCCAGCUCCAAUAGCGUAUACUAAAGUUGCUGCGGUUAAAAAGCUCGUAGUUGGAUCUCAGUUACAGGCGGGAAGUGCGUGGACACCACGUUACGGCCCGUGCUGAACAUCAUGCCUGUCGUGGCUUGGUUCCCUUCAUCAGGUGCCUUGCUUUGGCCGGCGCGUUUACUUUGAAAAAAUUAGAGUGCUCAACGCAGGCGAUUCGCCUGAAUAACAGUGCAUGGAAUAAUAGAACAAGAUCCUGUUUCUGUUCUGUUGGUUUUUGGAAUACAGGAUAAUGAUUAAGAGGGACAGACGGGGGCAUUCGUAUUGCGGCGCUAGAGGUGAAAUUCUUGGACCGUCGCAAGACGAACUACUGCGAAAGCAUUUGCCAAGAAUGUUUUCAUUGAUCAAGAACGAAAGUUAGAGGUUCGAAGGCGAUCAGAUACCGCCCUAGUUCUAACCAUAAACGAUGCCAACCAGCGAUCCGCCUGAGUUACUCAAAUGACUCGGCGGGCAGCUUCCGGGAAACCAAAGUAUUUGGGUUCCGGGGGAAGUAUGGUUGCAAAGCUGAAACUUAAAGGAAUUGACGGAAGGGCACCACCAGGAGUGGAGCCUGCGGCUUAAUUUGACUCAACACGGGAAAACUUACCCGGCCCGGACACUGGGAGGAUUGACAGAUUGAGAGCUCUUUCUUGAUUCGGUGGAUGGUGGUGCAUGGCCGUUCUUAGUUGGUGGAGCGAUUUGUCUGGUUAAUUCCGAUAACGAACGAGACUCUAGCCUAUUAAAUAGGUGCGUGGUUCUCUGCACCUUGCACCCUUCUUAGAGGGACAAGCGGCUCCUAGCCGCACGAAACAGAGCAAUAACAGGUCUGUGAUGCCCUUAGAUGUCCGGGGCCGCACGCGCGCUACACUGAAGGAAGCAGCGUGUUUUUAUCCCUGUCUGUAAAGACUGGGUAACCCGUGGAACCUCCUUCGUGAUUGGGAUAGGGGCUUGCAAUUGUUCCCCUUGAACGAGGAAUUCCCAGUAAGCGCGAGUCAUAAGCUCGCGUUGAUUACGUCCCUGCCCUUUGUACACACCGCCC